rnacentral:lncRNA from 1 species
AAUAUAAAUAUUGUCAUCUAGACAAUAUCCACACUCAAUUGAGUCCUCAUUACAUUUAUUAUCACACUAUUUAACAAAAUAGUGAGGACUACUAAUGCUAUUAUUUGGACCGUCACUUCGUUCCCCAACUAGUCCCUGCUACGUUCUCAUUUCCUGAAGAGAACAAUAAAAGUAAAAGGGUGAGCUCAACUAGCCCAGUAAGAAAUAUUAUGACUAAGAUAAUACAGAAUAAAUUAUCGUUAGCCUUCAACAGUGUUAAACUGAUACAANNNNNNNNNNNNNNNNNNNNNNNNNNNNNNNNNNNNNNNNNNNNNNNNNNNNNNNNNNNNNNNNNNNNNNNNNNNNNNNNNNNNNNNNNNNNNNNNNNNNNNNNNNNNNNNNNNNNNNNNNNNNNNNNNNNNNNNNNNNNNNNNNNNNNNNNNNNNNNNNNNNNNNNNNNNNNNNNNNNNNNNNNNNNNNNNNNNNNNNNNNNNNNNNNNNNNNNNNNNNNNNNNNNNNNNNNNNNNNNNNNNNNNNNNNNNNNNNNNNNNNNNNNNNNNNNNNNNNNNNNNNNNNNNNNNNNNNNNNNNNNNNNNNNNNNNNNNNNNNNNNNNNNNNNNNNNNNNNNNNNNNNNNNNNNNNNNNNNNNNNNNNNNNNNNNNNNNNNNNNNNNNNNNNNNNNNNNNNNNNNNNNNNNNNNNNNNNNNNNNNNNNNNNNNNNNNNNNNNNNNNNNNNNNNNNNNNNNNNNNNNNNNNNNNNNNNNNNNNNNNNNNNNNNNNNNNNNNNNNNNNNNNNNNNNNNNNNNNNNNNNNNNNNNNNNNNNNNNNNNNNNNNNNNNNNNNNNNNNNNNNNNNNNNNNNNNNNNNNNNNNNNNNNNNNNNNNNNNNNNNNNNNNNNNNNNNNNNNNNNNNNNNNNNNNNNNNNNNNNNNNNNNNNNNNNNNNNNNNNNNNNNNNNNNNNNNNNNNNNNNNNNNNNNNNNNNNNNNNNNNNNNNNNNNNNNNNNNNNNNNNNNNNNNNNNNNNNNNNNNNNNNNNNNNNNNNNNNNNNNNNNNNNNNNNNNNNNNNNNNNNNNNNNNNNNNNNNNNNNNNNNNNNNNNNNNNNNNNNNNNNNNNNNNNNNNNNNNNNNNNNNNNNNNNNNNNNNNNNNNNNNNNNNNNNNNNNNNNNNNNNNNNNNNNNNNNNNNNNNNNNNNNNNNNNNNNNNNNNNNNNNAAUAACAGAAGAAUUUCACCAAGUAUAGGGUAGUCCGCGUAUACAGGUUAUUCCAACAGAAUAAUAAAGAAUGGAAUAACAGAAGAAUUUCACCAUAUAUGCGGUACUUCGCAUAUACAAGUUAUUCCAACAUAAUAAUAAAGAAUGGAAUAACAGAAGAAUUUUACCAUGUAUGCGGUACUUCACAUAUACAGGUUAUUCCAACGGAAUAAUAAGGAAUGACAUAACAGAAGAAUUUCACCAAGUAUAGGGUAGUUCACGUAUACUGGUUAUUCCAACAAAAUAAUAAAGAAUGAAAUAACAGAAGUUCUCUUCAUGAAUACGAAAGAAAUAAUACCCCUUACGAGUACAACAAAUAAUAUCCCUUACCUUAGAACAAAUUGGAUAUAGGAGUAGUGAAGUAGCAUAAUACUUUUCUUCUUUCUCUCUAUAGUUUCUCUCUCUAAAGUUUUAGUGAAUUCGUAAGAAAUAAUGAAGGAAUGAGCUUCUAUUUAUAGGAGAAUGGACUGAAAAGUAACUAAUUCUUGAACGGUCCAGAUUGAUUUACUUUUAAACGAACGGUCCAGAUUGGUUUACUAUAAAAUAUUCUAAUAAAACAAAAUCUUUUAAAUAAAAUAUAAUAAUUAUUAUAAAACAGAACUUCAUCAUCAUUAUUAUAAUUCACACUAUUAAUCGACCAGGUCGUUCCUAGGAAAGAGGGGGCGUUUUCCAAUAAGGAUUUCUCCCUAUUGGCGCGCAAUUUGGUGACCAAACCUCUCAUUGGCAGAACUUCUAGACAUCGUUAAUAUUGCAAAUAAUAAUAUUAAUAACUUCGUCGUCUCAAUUAUUGAUUUAAUAAUAUAUAAAAUAUUGACAAUAAUUGAAUCAAUUAACGUGAGAUACUAUGCAACAAUUACUGAAGCAAUAAUUGAACAAAACUGAGUGACUUCUCACGUAAGCAUCAAUAAUCAAUACCGUGUGCUACUAUGCAACCACGCGUAUUCCUGUACUUUUAACACCGGGUGUUUCAACCGUUAACGGUAAAACUUCCGCCGUUUUUUUCAUAAAAUAUUUUUGUCAUUUUCUCAAUCUGAAAAUAAUUUCGUUGUGGGGUCCACUAAUGAUUGGAUCGUUGUACGAAUAUUCCCUGUUAAAAUGAAUAUUCCCCGACCAAUCGAAUAUUAUAUAACAACUUGCGUACUUUACAAAAUUUAUAAAUAUUACUCAUAACUAUAACAUUAUAUCAAAUCCACACCAUAAUAUUAAAAAAAAAUUAUUUCGAGAAAUUUAAAUCUUUAUUCAUAAACUUUGGGGUCUCACAAAUAUUAUUAUAUAAUUAAUAAUAUUAGAUUAAAGUUCAAUUAAAAUAUUAUUAAAUAAUUAAUAAUAUUAGAUAAUGAUUUAAAAUAUUAUUAAAUGAUUAAUAAUAUUAUAUUAAAGUUAAAUUAAAAUAUUAUUAAAUAAUUAAUAAUAUUAUUAAUUGAUUAAAAUAUUAUUAAAUGGUUAAUAAUAUUUAUGAAUGGUUAAGAUAUUAAAGAUUUAUUAAAAUAUUAUUAAUUGAUUAAUAAUAUUAGUAAUUGGUUAAGAUGUGAUUAAUAUACGGAGUAUUAUUAAGUGAUUAAUAAUAUUAUCAAGUGACUAAAAUAUUAUUAAAUGAUUAAUAAUAUUAAUAAGGGAUUAAAAUAUUAUUAAAUGGUUAAUAAUAUUACAAAGUGAAUAAAAUAUUAUUAAAGGAUUAAUAAUAUUAGACAAGUAUUUAAGACAAUGGUUAUAUGAUAAUAAUAUUAUCAAAGAAUAAUAAUAUUCCUAAUGAGUAAGAUAUUAUUGAAUGUUUGAUUACAUGAUUACAUGUUAGAUAAUUUAUUAUAAGAAUAGUGGAGUUAUGAUAUAAUAUUUUAUGCUAAUUGAAAUAUCAAUAUUGUUAAUGAUAUGUAUUUCAAAAGAAGUUGAAUUAAAUUGCAUAGCUGUAAUCGACAAUCAAGGCAAGUUUCAUAACUCAACUUGAGUUUUUAAUUUCAAAGCAUAAUUAGUGGAUAAUUAUUGUUGGUUAUUCACAUCUAUAAUGAUUAUUGUUAUUCGCACAUAGUGCAUUUGAUUUUCUGUUCUAUUAUUUGAACUGUGAAAUAAAUUUAAAGUUCUUUUAUUCAUGAACUGUUUAUGAGUCAUGUCUCAGCUAUUUGUUUUGGCUAGACUAAUAAUUGAUGAAUCGUUCUAUUAUUUGAUCUAAGUUGUUAUUGAAAGAUUAAUGCCAUUUAUUUUGGGCAGAUCAAUAUUGAUAUUAUAUGUUGAAAUCAUAACAUUUCUUUGAAAGCAACCCAAACCAUAUUGUUGUGGUAUAGACUCACGAUGUAAAACUGAGAUGAACCCUUAUAAAAAAGGAAAUUUUAUUAUCAGACAUCCGAUCAUUACGUUAUUUUUUAGUAUUAUGCAUAAUAUAGGGUACAAUGGGGCUGAUCACCUCAUGUACUCACAGAAGAGUAUAAUUAUUUUUUAUAAUUAACUUAUAUUAUUGAAGUAAUUCUGUUUUAUUAACUGAUAUUCCUCUAGUAGUUCUUGAUCCACUUGUGAUUAUUCAACAUGAAAUCUGGGAGUAUCCCAGUUUAUUGAAUAAUAUCGCAGUAUUGCUAAAUUUUCUUAAUCAAUUGAAUAUUAUGAAACCAUCGAAAGAAUUGUAAUCUUUCAUUUUCGAUAUGUUAAUCAGCUUGAAAUUCAAGAAAAUGCUUGUUAUUAAAAAAUGAUAUAUUGUUCAGCUAUUUCAAUAUUGUGAUUAUUGCUGAAGUUCUAUAAAGUUAGACUCUUAUGUUCCAUGAUCCUUUAUUGUAUACUUUAACUUGCUGAGCAAACUAGUUGCUCACCCUUACCUAAAUAAAACAUUUCAGCUACAACCGAGGUAGCCGAAGGUUCUAAGAAGGAUACAGGCAAAGCAAAGGCAACCGAGUAGAAUUAAUUGUGUAAUGAUGAUUAUUAUAUUAUAUUUUGGUUUAAGACUUUUGUAUAAUAGGGCAUGUAAUGUUAAUGGUAGUUAACCUGGGUUGAUGUUACAACCAUGUAUUUAAAGUAUGUUUUUGUUAAAGGAAAUGUAAUGAAUGAUGUAAUUUAUAAUGAAUGAGUAGUUAGAUGUGAUAUGUAUGAUGUAUUGUGAGCAUUGAAUUUGAGGUUUGAGGAACCUGAAUUUGGGGGCGUCACAGUAGUGGCACUGGUGGCAGUUGUUGCAGUGGUUGGGGUGUUUAUUGGGAGAGUAGGAAUGAAGGAAAUGGGGAUGGCAUUGAUGGGUUUACUGUUGACUGGGCUAGAGGAGACUAGGGUGCUUGAAGAAGCCAUUGAUGGUUGAGGAUAGGUUCACCAGAAUUCAAAGUUUUGCAGUAGAAAAGGGAGGAAGAGCCGAGAAAAUUUGGUGAUUUUUAAAGUGAGGGGAAUGUAUCUGUUUGAUUUGGGGAAUCAUCCUUUCAACUUCGCGCGCUUCUCGGAGAACGACUAUUAAAUGGGUUGUUACGAUUACAAAUGUGGGAGAGAGAUUGUGGGUUCUUUAUGUGUUGGGCGAGUUUCCAAGGAGGUGGGACUUGCAUCAUUUUCUAUGUAAUUAUUGGGCUUUUGAUGUGGAACUCUUCAAUUAAAUGUUCCAUUUAACAUAAGACUGGGGGUAAUGUUGGGGUGUGAUUAUUAGGGCCCAAAUAAUAUGGUGUGCCAAAGUCCACGUGAAGGUAUUUACCCUGCGUAGGAAUCUGUUUGGGCAGUUGAGUAUUUUAAGGAAUCAAAGAUUCCUAGUUGUAUUUAAUUUCCAACUCCUAAGGGAAGUGUCAAGAUAUGAUCUGACUUCCUUUCUUUAAGUAGAUUCCAAAUGAGGAAUCCUAUUUUUAUACGAGGAAGAAGGUGUGAUCACUAUAAAUAUAAGGCUAUACCCUAGCUAUCAUGUACACAAUUCAAAAUUAUUCUACAGCACUAAAACAUUAAGUCUCCAUUGUUAAACCUUAUUCAACCUGUACUUAUUCUCACACCGGAGCUAUCCCCCAGCGGCCCAAGCCGUCAAGCUUUACGUGUGACUUCGUUUCUGUGCAGUAUUGAACGUGCUUUUGGUGAUUGAGGCACGAUGACAAAUCUUGGCGUUAACAAAUACUUUAACCUUACAAGUCUUGUAUUGAAUUUAAAUAAAUUAAAUAUUAAUUUGUUUAUCUUUCAUCUGUUCUAAUAAAUUUUGAAUGGUAAUACUGAGAUUGUAUACUUAUUUUAAUCAAUCAAACGAAAUAUUAAUUACAUUUCUUAAUCUUUGUAUUUUCUCUUAAAACGUCAACUAGUCAAGUUAAAAGUAACGGAUGGAGUAUAAGAGAUGGUUCCAACAUCAUAAAUAUGGAAGGAGUAUAAGAGAUGGUUCCAACAUCACAAAUAUAUGUGUACGAAGGGGCGGAUCUGUGAAGGGGCAGCAUAGGCAGUUGUCCCUUCUGGAUUUUUUUUAUAAGUAUAGAGGUAAGGGCAAAUAUAUAAGUUAAUAAACUCAAGAGGGCAUAUUAAUGGAAGAGUUAAACUUGAAGGAGACAAAUAUAUAUAUACACACACACACAGGUACCAAGCUUCCUAAAGGCAUAGUGAUAACUUAUAAUUAUAUUUUGUUGUACAUUUAUUUGUGUAUCUGGUUAUAAAUGCAUAUACAUAGGUAUUAAACUCUAAUCUUUAAUCCUUUUAAUAAUUUUUAUCAUUUAAUUAGGACAUUGAUAUUUUCACACAAAUAAAAUUUUAUAUUUUCACAAGUUUCUUCUCACAUAAGUGAGGAGGCACAAUUACUAUUCAUGUGAGACAUAUUAUGUGGAACUAUAACUUUUACUUGUGGAAUUGCUUUUAAUUUUUUUUGCCAAUUUAAUCUUUUUUCAUAUUCAUUUCAUUUAAAUAUUUAAAGUUAAGUUUUGGUAUUUUUUUGGCAGGCUGAAGUUUACGAGACCAAUCUUGUGUUGAAGAGAAUUAUGACAAUGAAGAGAGGACUUAACCUGUCAAAGUUAUAAAAUUUUUCUUACCUCUUUACUUGUAUUAAUGACUAAAUAUUUUAAGAACUAGACCUUUGGAACACCUACAUUUGUUUUGAUUACAAGCCUUGUAGGUUUUGUUAUUUGAUUAUAACAUAUUAGUUGUGGAAUAUUAUACAAUUAGUUAUUUAUAUAAUAUAAUGUUUUAUUUGAUGUUGAUUACAAAAUAAUAUAUAAUUUAAAAAAUAAUUUUAAUUUGCAAUAAUUUGAUUAUUUAAUAGAAGCAUUAAUUGUUGAAGAAAUUUCUUCUCGGUAAAUUUAAAAAAAAAAUCACAAUAUGUAAUUAGUGAAGAAAAUCCAACCUUUCUAAAGUAAAUAUGUUCUUCACAAAUUGUUAUUUAUGAAAGAAGACAUUUUUACUAGUUAUUUCAAAAUGUUAAUUGUGAGAAAAUCAUCUUCUCGCCAAACAAAAAUAAUCUUUUACAAUAUAUAAUUUUUAAAGAACAUAUUUUUCACAAUAUAUCCUUCAUAAAAAAUAUUUAGUUACUAACUUAACGAAGCAUACUUUUACGUAGAGCUCUAAUGCGAGGAAUUGCGCGAAGAAUUUUUUUUUUCACAAUAAAUCUAGUGAGUAAUAUACUAUUUUUUAUGAAAGAUUUGUCGUUUAUUGCCGACUUUUUUUUUUUGUAGUGAAAAUCCUUCCCUGCUGAGAAAUAUUUCUAGAUCCGACCCUAUAUGUACGUAAAAAAUCUCCAUGCAUCUACUAUCUAGCUACAAAGAAAACAAAAUACGCCCAUCAUUUUUAAUGCACUCAAACAUUCUCUUGCGAUAAAUGAUUGUCAAAAACCACAAAAGACAUUUAGGUCACUUUAACUAAUUUGCUACUCGUAUUGCAAUAAUAGCCUCAUUUCCAAUCUUUUAAUUACGUCUCCAAAAUUCAUAGGGUACUUGUAUGAAUCAUCCUAGAUGGAUUUAAAAAGCCAACAAUUAUUGUUUCAAUCCGCUAAUAGAAAACAGGUUCUCACUGUAUUGAAAAAUUCUGGAAGCAAUAAAUUAUGCCUCAGCUAGUUUUUGAAUAACACUAGUCUCUUUUGCUUAAGGUCCAAAAAGAACAAAUCGAAUUGUGUUUUGUGAAAUUCUAUUCUAGUUAUCCUUGCUAAAUCUGAUCCGUCUCUAAAAACCCUAAAGGGUACAUUGUCUCCGGAAAUGCCUCAAUCAUGAACUUCUUAGUCCAAGACGUCCCGUUCCGCCACAAUCAUCUUUCAUCGACCAAACGCAAAGCUUCUUAUCCAUUUCUUUACCACACAAUAAGUACAACAUCAUCCUCUAGCUCGAACGUGAGCAUUUCACAUUUCCCUUUCAGCUCCACAAUUUCAUUCAAAGAAAUUCUCAUAAAAUUAAACCUCAUUGUUCAUAUGAAAUGAUAUUAACCCUAACUUAUCCGUAGCAUACCAAUAAGGAACGCCCUUAACUAUACCCACCUAAUCCGGCUCAACCUAACUUAUCCAUAGUAUACCAAUAAGGAUUUUCGUCUCAGUCCAAUUACAGAUUCAUAAUUUUAGUAUGUCUAAUUGAAAAUUUCCAUAGACGUGUUCAAUUCCAAGUAUUUAUUAGGGGAAUGAUGAAGAAAACCAAAGCAAUUGACAUUAUCGUACCGUAGAGGGAGGAAGAGUUUGUAAUUGCCUGUGAGGGAACAAUCACAAGACGCAAAAGUUUACUUCCAAAACGAAGAGUUUUCUGCUGGAGAAGGGAGCUGUGCAGGAUGUCGAGGCCCGACGGAGAUUGAGCUGCUGGAAGGCAAGAGUCGUGGAGACGAGUAGGGAGAGCUAGAGGAUCUAUUGGAGAGAAAGGAGAGACAAGAGAUCAAUUAGAAAUAAAAGAGACCAACAUAUUCUGAAUUGAAUUUUAUUUUAAGAACACAUUUGUGAUAUGAAUGUUAUUUUAAGGAAACAUUUGUAAUGGAUCAAUCCGUCACAAAUAAACAGUGUGUCACAUAUAUUUUGUUGGUUGGCUAUUUUGGGAACACUCAUUGUAUAUAUUAGUAAUUGUUAUGAGCUUAGUAACUUGGUUAGGAAAAAGAGAUGGGCUUUCGCAUAUGAGGAUGACUAAGGAAUUGGGCUAGGCCAAGCUUGUUUCUUGGACUUUCGAUCAGAAAACCUUAGUGCGUGUGCACGCGAUAUGUCUACGCNNNNNNNNNNNNNNNNNNNNNNNNNNNNNNNNNNNNNNNNNNNNNNNNNNNNNNNNNNNNNNNNNNNNNNNNNNNNNNNNNNNNNNNNNNNNNNNNNNNNUCCGGUCGAUUAUGCUUCGCAGGUGCACCCAGGUAGGUCACUAUUUUGGUUAAAUCCCUAGCCUUUAUUUUUAGCCUAAAUUUAAUACCCUAGCCAUUUUUUCCCCAACGUUCAUUAACGUAAACGUUAUUUAUCCCCAACGUUCUUCUGAACAUUGCGUAACUAAUUACGUUCUCCAGUAACGUUUGUUCCCAACGUUCACCAUGUUUUGUUAACCGUUUUUCAACGUUCUUCUUUUCCUUCUAUAAAUACCACUAUGUUCUGUUCUUUUCUAUAGAAAUUAACACAAUACAUAUAAACAAUCUGUUCUUCCUUCUAUAUACAUAUACUCUGUUAUUCUGGACAAUCCACAUAGACAAGUCCACAGUCUCCUUCUGUGAAUACACACGAUUGGAGGCUUUACCGUUGAAUCCUGGAGGGUGAUCACCGACAGCCCAUUUGUACCUGUGAUUAUUAUCAGUGGGGGCGAAAUCACUUUUUAGGAUAGUAGCUCUGUUACACCUCGGUUUCCAGCUAAGUUGUUCCAAUUUACUGUAUUAUUCGUCUUGUUAAUUAUGCUAAUAUUCCAACAAUCUAAAAAGUGAUUUACGAUUUAUUAACAAGAUGAAAACUGCCAUAGACCUUUCUAAAAUUGAUCGCUUUGAUGGUACAAAUUUUAAGAGAUGGUCUGAAGAUAUACUGUUUUAUUUGGAAACCAUGAAAUUGGAAUAUGUGUUAUACAUGGAUGUUCAUGUUAUUGUUGUUUCUGAUACUGCUGAAUCUGUUGAAAAAUCGGAUGAUGAUAAGUCUGCAAAAGGGGAUUAUGUUAAGGAUAAUCGUACUAUGUCGUAGAUAUUUUUUGCACUAUUUGUCUAAUUCACUAUUUGAGAUUUAUUAUCUGUAUAAAAGUGCUAAGAAGAUUUGGGAAGCUUUAAAAUCUAAAUAUGUUGUUGAAAACUCUGGCCUUAAGAAAUAUGUUGCAGGAAAUUUUCUAGAUUUUAAGAUGCAAGAUGAAAAAUCAGUAAUAGAGCAAGUUCAUGCAUACCAAACAAUUGUGGGGGAAGUUAUUGGGGAUGGAAUGAAAAUAUGUGAGACAUUUCAAGUUGUUAUACUUAUCGAAAAAUUACCACCCUCAUGAAAAGAUUAUAAGAUGAAUCUUAAACAUGAAACUAAAGAUUUCACUAUGCAGGAAUUAGUGGCACACAUCCAUAUUGAAGAACAAAACAGGGCUAAAGAAAGAGGAGAAAUAGUUCCAAGUCAUACUGUCAAAGCUAAUCUUGUAGAACAAAAGCCACAAUGGAAGGGCCAAAAUCAGUCCAAAAACUACAAAAGGGAAAAAUCAUAAAUCAAUAGAAAGAAAGGAUAAUAGGUUUAAGAAUCCAAAUCAAAUUCAGAAACCUUUCACUAAAGGUCCUUGCUUCGUAUGUGGCCAACUGGCCAUAUUGCUAUGAAGUGUCACUUUCGCAAGGGGCAAGAUAACAAAAAUAAUAACUCUCAGCCUAAGCCCCAAGCGAGCUUAGUUGAAUUCGAUGAUAUUAUUGUUGCUGUUGUCUCGGAAGUAAACCUUGUUGACAACUUCACGGAAUGGGUAGUAGAUACCGGAGUCACUAGACACAUUUACGCGAAUAGAGACAUAAUUCUCAACUACGAAAAUGUGACUAAUGGAGAAAAGGUUUUUAUGGGGGAUUUUCGAGCCACCAACGUUGCGAGAAAAGGGAAAGUCCUACUAAAACUGGGAAAACAAUUGCUUUACAAGAUGUACUUCAUGUGCCCGAUAUUCGUAGGAAUCUUGUGUCCUAGUCUUUAUUGAACAAAGCUGGCUUUAAACUUGUGUUUGAGUGUUUGAUAAACUUGUACUUACUCGUAAUGGGGAAUUUGUUGGGAAAAGUUUUUGUAAUAGGAGUUUAUUUGUACUUGAUGCUUUUGCUGAAUUAAAUAAUAAGAAUGUUUCUUUUGUUUAUAUUGUUGAAUCUUUAGAUAUGUGGCAUGCUAGAUUAGGACAUGUAAACGUGACUUGUAUUAAAAAAUUGAAACAACUUGAACUUAUACCUAAUCUUGCAAAUAUCGAGUUUAAUAAAUGUGAAAUUUAAUUUGUGUAGAAGCAAAACAUGCUAAGAAACCUUUUAAAAGUGUUGAAAGACAAACUGAACUACUUGAGUUAAUUCACAGUGAUCUAGAUGAUUUUAAAAAUAGUACUACGAGUAGAGGUGGUAAGAAAUAUUAUAUUUAUUUUGUAGAUGAUAUGUCUAGAUAUACUCCUAUUUAUCUUCUUUCCUCUAAAGAUGAAGUAGAAGUAAUGUUUAUUAAAUAUAAAGCAGAAGUUGAAAAUCAGUUAGAAAGAAAAAUUAAAAGACUUAGAUCUGAUCGUGGAGGUGAAUAUGAUUCGGGAAGUCUUAAAAAUUUUUGUGAACUAAAUGGAAUUAUACAUGAAACUUCUCCUCCUUAUUCUCCACAGUCCAAUGGAGUUGCAGAAAGAAAAAAUAGAACACUUAAAGAUAUGAUGAAUGCUAUGCUAAUUAGUUCUGUUUAUCUUCUAAUAUGUGGGGAGAAGCUUGCCUUUCUGCAAAUCAUAUUUUGAAUAGAGUUCCACAUAAAAAGAUACUCUACAUCAUAUCAUUUAUGGAAGAAACAAGCACCUAAUUUGGGAUAUCUUAAAGUGUGAGGGUGUCUAGCUAAAGUAGUUUUUCCAGAAUUUAAAAGGAAUAAAAUUGAACUUAAAACAAUGGAUUGUAUUUUUAUUGGAUAUGCUUCUAUUAGUGCUGCUUAUAGAUUUUUGGUAAUUAAAGAUGCAACUAAUAAUUAUCAAAAUAAUUCAAUUUUGGAAACAAAAGAUGCUGAAUUUUUUGAAAAUAUAUUUCCAAUGAAAAUAAGAGAUGAGGACAAUCCUUCUUCAAGUGAACAUCUUAAAAGGAAAAAUAAAGAACCUGUACUUGCAUCUACUAGAAGUAAAAGGCAACGUUUUGAGAAAACUUUUGGUCCAAAUUUUAAAACUGUUUUUAUAACUGAAAAUGACCCUAAAACUUAUGAAGAAGCAAUGAAAUCAAUUGAUGCAAAUUUUCGGAAGGAUGCUAUUAAUAGUGAACUAUAUUCUAUUAUGUCUAAUCAUACAUGGGAACUAGUCAAUUUUCUUAGAGGAUGUAAACCUAUUGAAUGUAAAUGGGUGUUUAAAAAGAAGUUAAAAGCUGAUGGGUCUAUUGAUAAAUUUAAGGCAAGACUUGUAGCAAAAGGGUUUACACAAAAGGAAGGUUUUGAUUAUUUUAACACUUACUCACCAGUAACUAAACUAGCAACUAUAAGAAUUUUAAUUUCUUUGGCUUCUAUUCAUAAAUUGAUAAUCCACCAAAUGGACGUUAAAAUUGCCUUUUUGAAUGGAGUUAAAUGAAAAAAUAUAUAUGUGUCAACCUGAAAGAUUUGUUAUUCCAGGUGAAGAACAAAAAGUGUGUAGACUUGUAAAAUCUUUGUAUGAUUUGAAAUAAGUGCCAAAACAAUGGAAUGACAAAUUUAAUAAAACUCUUUUGUCUAAUAAUUUUGUGACAAAUGAAUCUGAUAGUUGUGUCUAUAGUAGAUUCAAUAGAAAUUGUGGUGUGAUUAUUUGUUUAUAUGUGGAUGAUUUAUUAAUAUUUGGUACUAAUGAGAAAGUUGUGAAAACUACUAAAGAUUUUUUAUCUUCCAAAUUUGACAUGAAAGAUUUAGGAGAAGCUGAUUUGAUUCUUGUCAUGAAAAUAAAUAAACAUGCAAAUGGGUUAGUUUUAUCACAGUCUCAUUAUGUAGAAAAUAUUCUUAAGAAAUUUAAUUUCUGUAAUGAAGAGCCAUUAGGAACCCCUUAUGACUCUAGUGUGCAUUUAAAGGAAAAUAAAGGGAAUGUUAUUGCACAAAUUGAUAUGCUAGAAUCAUUGGUAGUGUAAUGUAUUUAAUGAACUGUACUUGGCCUGAUAUUACAUAUGCUAUUAGUAGACUUAGCAGAUAUACGCAUAAUUCUUUACAAGAUCAUUGAAUGCAUUGUCAUGACUAAUGAGGUAUUUAAAAGGAACAGUUAAUGUAGGCGCACAUUUCACUGGUCAUCCUAGUGUUUUAGAAGGAUAUUGUGAUACUAAUUGGAUAUCUGAUAAUGAUGAAACAAACUCCACUAGUGGUUAUGUGUAAGACCCCGACUUUUAUGAAAUAAAAGUCUAAUUUAAUUUAUAAUUAUUGCUCUAAAAUUUUAAAAUGUUAAAUUGAUAAAUGGUCAAAUGAAUAAUUAAUUGGAUAAAAGAGCAAAUAAAGGAGGGAGAUUAAAGUUUGCUGAUACAAAUUUUCCUUAUACUGCUAAAAUUUUCAUAAAGCAUUCACCAAACUUUUUCAUGAUUGGUGGGUUAUCAAAUAUUAGGCAAAAGUGGGGCAAGGAUGAUGGCUAACUUAUUAGCCUACUAAAGCAAAUUUUCAACACACUUGCACUUCUCCCGUAGACAAAAUGUGUAGGAAAGAAGAAAAGAGAAAAGGAGAAGAAGAAAAAGAGGGAGAGAGAAAAGAAAGAAAACAAAAUAAAAGGAAGAAAAAGAGAGAGAGAGUACUCCACCCAUUUAUUCCAUUCACUCAUUCUCUCGGUGGAGGAAACCAGAAGAAAGAAGAGUAGAGAAAAAGAAAAAUAGGAGAAGAAAAGAAGAAAGAGAAGAAAUAAAUGAAGAAGAAAUUAAAAGAAAAAGGUAUGUUUAAACCUUUGAUUUAUUUUUCUAUUUAAGUUUUCAUGAAUUUUAAAUGAAGAGAUUUUGUUCAUACUUGAUUUAGAUGAUUUAAACUUGUAUAAACAUGAAUCAAGUGAGAGAAAUCUAGAAAUUAAAAGAAGAACAAAAUCUGGAAAUUUUCAUAAAAUUUAAUUUACUACUUGAUUUUGUAAAAUUCAUAACUCUUUAUGUAUAAUGAGUUAGGAGAUGAGCCAUAUAUCAACAGAAAGGUCUGGAAGUAAACUCGUGGUGACAGUUUGAGUGAAAUUGGUCCGAAGGACUUAUAGUCCAAAAAAUCAGUUUUAUUAAGCUCUGUUGCGUGAGUUAUAAUUUUUAAUCCGACCGUUGGAUCGUUCUAAUUUUCGGAUAUGUUAUGCAUAUAUAAGUUGAGUAUAUGUCCACAAAUUUUGAACCGUUAAAGAUUAAUAUAUAAUAUAUUGUGAAUUUCGUAAGGUGGCUAGUUUGAAAAUUAUCAAACAGAAUAUUUCGGUAAGCCUUUCUCUCUAUGUUAAGAGUCAAAAUUUGGGAAAACUUUCUUCUACAAAGUUGUAGAGAAUUAAAUUUUACAUGGACGGACAUAAGAUCUGUAUUUUUCUGAUAACAGUGCUAAUUAUUGUGAAUUAUUAAAAUUUUUAAAUAUUGGAGUUUAUAAUUAAUUUAUCAGAAAAAUUAUUUGGGUUGAAAUAUUUUUACAAAAUGUUUAUAAUACCAUCUUAGAAUUUCUGCAAAAUUUUGAUGAAUUAUUGAAAAGCAGAAGUAAUUAUUGUAUUUUAAAACUAUUUAUAGUUAGUUUAAAAAUAGAAGAAAUUCAUAGAAAAUUCUAUGAAUGAUGAAAAAUUAUGAAACUUGGUGAAAAAUGGUAUAAUAUUGUUUUAUAAUUUCUGGACAAUUUUGGAAUUUUUUUUGAAUAACAUAAGUAUUUAUUAUAUUUUAAAACUAUUUAUGGCUAGUUUAAAAAUAGAGGAAAUUCAUAAGAAAUUCUAUGAAUGGUGAAAAAUUAUGAAUUUUGCUGAAAAAUAUUAUAAUAAUAUAAGAUUAAUAUUGAUGAUGUUUUAAUGAUAUAAAAGUAUGUGGGGUUUGUAUUUCUAUUUUGAAGCUAUUAAAUGAUAGUUUUUAUAAAUAAAAAUAAUUAUUGAAAAUUGUUAGAUAAUCUGAAAAUUAAAAUAUAAAAAUUAUUUGAAAAAUUCAGAAUCAUAUUUUUAAAUAUUUUAGAAGUGUUAGUAAGCUCAUGAGGUGUCGGGAUGUAAACGCACUAGUAACGAAUGAUUUACGAUAAAAACACAAGUAAUAUUUUUGUUAAAAUAAAAAUGGUGAUAAUAUCAGAAUAAUGAAUUGUCAUAUAUGAGGUUGUAUAUUUCUCAAGUUUUAUUAUUCACUUCUAAAGUUUUGGAAUAUGAAUAAUGGUUUUAUGCGAUAAAUAAAGACAACUUGAAUGAAUAAUGAAUUAUUAGUUGAUUUAUAUGUUAUUCGAGAUAAAUAUGAUUUGAUGUUGAUCCCUACUUUUAAUAGAAUUUAAAUUGUUUAUAAGUAAGGUAUUGAUUUGAUUCUUACGAAGAAGUCACCAUGUAUUUCAUUCAAUAAAAGUCAAAGUAAUUAUUGUACAGUGAUUCAUAUUAUUAAUUCCUAAUUACGUAAGAAGUCACUCGGUAUUUUAUUCAAUAAUUGUCACAGUAGUUAUUGCACAGUGAUUAAUUAUAUUAUUGAUUUAUAAUUACGUAAGAAGUCACUCGGUAUUUAUUUCAAUAAUUUCCAUAGUAGUUAUUACACAGUGACUCAUAUUAUUUGAUAUGAUAUAAUUAAACCAGUUGGCAGUAUUGUGAGUCUUUGUUAAUAAUUGUGAAUAAUUGUUGAAAGAUUGAAAAUGUAUAAAUAAUUGAUGAAUAAAAAGUGUUGAUUAAAGAUAAGUAUGAUAUACAGAUGUUUGUUCAAUUAUUUUCUUUUUACAAAAGUAAGUUUGGUAGGACUUGCCGACACUCUACUUUUUCUAAAGUAGUAUGGACCUCAACUCAAUUAUUUUUAAAACGUGUACAAGUUGGUUUAAUUUUCUUUGUGGGACCAUAAAUUCCACCACUACCAUUAUUAUAUACCUCGUUUGGUUAUUUUGUCAAAGCGGGUGUGCUAGUUGUUUACUAAAUUUUCAGUAUAAAUAGGUUGCUCGGUUGAGUAACUAAACAGACACCAUCACAACACUAAAAAUAUAGAAUUCUUUUACUACGAUAUUGUGAGUAUAAUAUUGUGAGUAUUUCUAUCGAGUGUAAUGUUACUCCAAGUGUAGAUAAAGAAUGCAAGCAUUGUUUAAGUUGAUCAAUUUCAUAGAAAGCAGAAUCAAGUUACAUGCUAAGGUAAGGGAUAUCAUUAUUGUGGUAAGGGCGUAUCAUUUUUAUGGUAAAAAGAAUAUCAGUUUCUUUCAUACUCCAUAUUAUGGUAAGAUAUUAUUAUUCGUUUAUUCAGUUUAUUAUUAAAUGGUAAAAAGUCCUGAAAGGAUUAAAAUAUCCUUAAUAGUUUGUACUUCAUCUAUUAUUAUGUUAUCAAUUUGGACUCUGGAUAAUUAGGUUAAAAAUCACUAAGAUCUAUGUUAUCUUAUUAUUCUGAUGAUUUAUGUUUAUUCAUUAUAUAUAUCAUUGUCAUCCUUCUCAUGUUUCUAUUGUGUUGAAAGUCAUCUAUGAACAGUAGUGUAUAGAUGGACUUGGUAUGAUUAUAACUAGGGAUUAUUCGGUAUAAUCAUGACCGUAAUGUUACAAAUGAUGUGGUGAAAGUCAUCUUUGGCCCGUAGUGCAUAGAUGGACUUGCAUAGAUGGACUUGGUAUGAUUAUGACCAGGGAUUAUUCGGUAUAAUCAUGAUCAUAAUUGAAAACACGAAUAUCCUUGGCCCGUAGUUCAUGGAUAAUUCGUGGUCGUGAUACUAUUAAGCUGAGUCUCAGCAUUAUUGAUUUUACAGUUAUAUAUCUUUGGCCUGUAGUGCAAAGUUGGACUGUUAAUUUACUUAAUUAUAAAUAUGAAUUGUGAUUUAAUUAUAAUCUGUGGUGGUUCAGGUGAAGACAGGUGAUGAGAGUUCUCUUUGUCUUGGGUAUAACCAAGAACUGUUGAUGAUUAUUAAAGGAAUGAAAUAUUAACGAUGGAUUUUUAAUCUAGAAGAGAUAGUAGACAUUCUAUUCUACUUGACUCUUCUAAUGGAUUGUUGAUUCCGCUACUAUUAUGGUUGAAAACUUUUAUCUUCUACCAUAUGUUCUAAAUAUCUGAAUUGUUUUGAUAAUUUAAUUAUCUUAAGUCAUGAUAUUUUUUACUGGGCUAUUUGUGCUCACCCUUUUACUUCACCACCCCUUUCAGGAAAUAAAAGUGUAGCUGAGACUAACAGAGAGGACGUGGGUAUAAAGUGGUGUUUCAAAUUAGUCGAAAUCCUAAUCAAAUUAUGAAACGAUGGGGCAUAAUAAUUGUACUGAGAAUUUAAAAUGUGCGUAACAUAUUUUAUACAUCAUUUAAUAGUUAUAUUUGGUGAAUUAAAUAGGGUGAUGCGAACUCGAUUUUGGAAGCGUCAAAAAUGCACUCCAUUAGAAUGUGAAGAACAGAAAUUUUCUCGUAUUCCUUUGGAGACUUGAAAUAUUUGUUGUUGUACUUAUAUGGCAUUGUAAAAAUUUGAGUAUGAAUAUUGUCGUAUUGUAUACGCUACAAUAUUUGUAUUGAAAGUCAUAGUAUAUGUGUCGUCGUAUUUUGCACGAUAGUUGUAUAAAUGGAGUUAUCAGUAGUGUAUUUUCUGGCGACCCAAGAUGGGUGAUGUAUACCUAUUUUGGGGGCGUCACAUUAUGUGUUUACUUUAGGUGGAGGAGUUGUUUCAUGGAAAUCUCCUAAACAAACUUGUAGUGCUAGAUCUACUAUGGAAUUUGAAUUUAUUACUUUAGAAUUGGCAGGUACAGAAGCAGAGUGGAUAAGGAAUUUAUUGGUUGAUAUACCAUUGUGGUCUAAGCUAAUUCUUUCUAUUUCGUUGCAUUAUGAUUCUCAAGCAGCUAUUGGCAGGGCAAUGAACCAUGUUUAUAAUGGAAAACAAAGACAUUCGCUUGAGGUAUAAUAUUUUACGAGGACUGAUCAGUAACGGGGCUAUUUUCAUGGAAUUUGUGAUGUCUGAAAAGAACCUAGCGGAUUUGCUUACUAAGGAAUUGAGUAAAAAGGUAGUCCAAAAAGCAUCUAGAGGGAUGAGACUAUUGCCAACAUUUUGAGUAAAUAAUAUGUGAUCGAUGGAAACCCAACCCAUGUGAUUAGAGAUCCCAUGAAUUGGGUUCAAUGGGUAACAACAAGUCAUGUAAUUAUUUAAUUAAAGCACUACAAUUAUUUAUAUUUCUCCAUGUGUGUAUGUGGUGCUUACUGACAAAUUGUGAUAGGAUUAAUCAUUUAGAUUCUUAAUGAAACUCAUAGCCCUAAAGGGUGGUGUAUGUCAGUUUACACUUGAUGGGUUCACCUAUAUAAAUGUGGAAGUGUAGGCCGCUUCCUAUGAGAGUCUUUGGCAAACUAUCUAGAGCCUUUAUGAAAAUCUGGGAUAUGGCGCAUGGCCUAGAACGCGCCCAACCGCAGACUUGUGUAGAUUCAGGAUUUUUAGAUAUGUGUGCAAGUUCAAUUGUUUGUAUCAUAGAUAAUGGGUUCAAGAAUAUAAUUCACUUAUAAUCUACAAUCAUGAGCUUGUUCCACUAAGUGUCGAUUCAAACCCACAAGGUAUCGACGUUAUGUAUCUAAAAUCCAUUGCCCUUUUUACUUCCUUUUAAUAUUUCUAUCUUUGAUAAUUUUGAAUCAUGUAGGGGAUUAUUGGUUAUGCUUCAAACUUAUGGUUUUAUCAAAGUCUCACAUUGGCUAUUUUGGGAACACUCAUGGUGUAUAUUAGUAAUUGUUGUUAUGAGCUUAGUAACUUGGUUGGGAAAAAGGGAUGGGCUCGCGCACAUGAGGAUGGCUAAGGAAUUGGGCUAGGCCAAGCUUGGUUCUUGGACUUUCGGUCAGAAAACCUUAGUGUGUGUGUGCGCGCGAUAAGCCCGCGCAGGAGGGGGUGCCGAUCUAGUCGAUUAUGCUUCGCGGGUGCACCCAGGUUGCCCACUAUUUUGCUUAAAUCCCUAGCUUUUAUUUUUAGCCUAAAUUUAAUACCCUAGCCAUUUUUCCCCAACGUUCAUUAAUGUAAACCUUAUUUAUCCCCAACGUUCUCCAGUAACGUUUUGUUCCCAACGUUCACCAUGUUUUCUUUACCGUUUUUCAACAUUCUUCUUUUCCUUCUAUAAAUACCACUAUGUUCUGUUCUUUUCUAUAGAAGUUAACACAAUACAUAUAUACAAUAUGUUCUUCCUUCUAUAUACAUAUACUCUGUUAUUCUGGGCAAUCCACAUAGACAAAUCCACAGUCUCCUUCUGUGAGUACACACGAUUGGAGGCUUUACCGUUGAAUCUUGGAGGGUGACCGUCGGUAGCCCAUUUGUACCUGUGAUUAUUAUCAGUGGGGGAAAAAUCACAUUUUAGGAUAGUAGCGCUGCUACGCCUCGGUUUCCAGCUAAGUUGUUCCAAUUUACUAUAUUAUUCGUCUUGUUAAUUCUGCUAAUAUUCCAACAUAUUUGACUAUACCAUUUUGAGCUCAUAUGUGAUAGUACUCAUAUGUGAUGAGUAAUGAUGGGAUAAAAAUAUGUAAUUGUAAGUGCACAGUGUCAAAUUAAAAAACUGACAAAUACAGGUCGAACCCGCAUAGACUAAAUUAAUUUUAAUGUAUCCUUAAUAUCUAUUUCAGACGAAUUAGGAAUAAAGAUUGAGAAUCGAUUAACUAUAAUUAAAUUAAUUAAAAUAUGAAAACUAAUACUCUAUCUGUUCUAAAAUAAACGUCCUAAUUAGUUUCGGCACGCUGAUUAAUAAAUUACUUUUUUUGAUUACUUAUUAAUUGAAGUAUUUUUUCACUUUUCUAUGACCCCGAUAAUUAUUUUUUUACUUUUUUAUUACCCUAAUAAUUGUUUUUUUUUACUUUUCUAUGACCCAAUAAUUUCCUUUUCACUUUUCUAUGACCCUAAUAAUCAAUCUUUUAUAUGUCAUUUAAUUCUCUAUAUACAUUUUUUUUGUAACUCUCACAUUACCAAUAAGUAUAUUAAAUAGAUUUUGAGGGCGUAAGAGGAAGAAUAUGAUAAAUAUAGUUACUAAUAUAGAAAUAGGACAUUUAUUUUGGAACAUCCUAAAAAAGGAAUUAGGUCAUUUAAUAUGGAACGAAGGGAGUAAUAAGAAAGCAAUUUAGGAAUCUGAAUCCAUUAAACAAUAAAAUAAUAAGUAACUCAAUCUCUUCUAUUUUUAUAACUUAACUAUGAUUUUGAUCUUCAUUCCCUUUAAUUUAGUAAUUUUACAAUUAAUGUGAACAAGUAUAGACUAUGAAAAUUUAAAAAUUAACUAUAACCUAUCAAAACUUCUUCGAGCAAAUAUGAAUUAUGAAAAACUCAUAUCUUAACCAUAAUCUAUCAAAACCUCUGAAUUAAUUUAAAAUCACAUAAGAACUAUUAAACGAACGUAUUUCAACAAUGAAACAUGAAGGCGAAAUCAAUUAUUUAAUGUCAUCUUCAUCCUAGAUUAAAGAAAUUAACUUGACAUGAAAAUAAAUAAACUAACUAAAAUAAAGAAAAAAAAGUAGAAGAUUAAAAAUAAAUAAGAAAACUCCUUUUUUAACGAUCAUUCAACAAUCGUAUAAUGAAGAUAUAAUUUAAUCCUACUCCUACUUGUAACCUAAACUAAUCUAAUACAUCUCCCUAUCUUUAUAAAAAGAGACCUAUUUAUAGAGAAAUUAGAUUUGUGUCCUAAUUUAGAUUCAUUGAACUUGGUUUCUUUCCUUCUUUUUUAUCUUCUUCUUUCCUUCUUGACUUCAAUCUUUACAUGGUAAUCUCCAAAGAGUCUUUCUAUCUUUAAAAGCUGGAACAAUUAUCUUUUACUUAUUCAUAACGAUAAAUAACAUAAAUCCUACAAAAUUAAAUAAAAUGUAAUCAAUUAAAUAAAAUAAACAUAUAAAUAAUAAAUAUGGGGAUAUUAAAUGUAUGAAUUAUGUGUCUAUCAAAUACCUUCAGACCUAGCUUUUGAUCGUCCUCGAGUAAAAGAAAAAAAAAACAAAAAAAAAACUAUAUUACCCCAUUUUUCGUAUGAAACACGAUUGCACUUAGCAUGUGCAACACACUUUAAACCCCAAGUGAAUGAGUUGUACCUCGUGAGGGUUUGCAGUGAAUGUACCCACAUGCGAAAUUCAAAAUAAAAUAAUUUUGAGUUUAACCAAUUAUGAAAUUAAAAGAAAACUUCUAAAUAUCCAUUGGUAUUAUACAAAAGCAAAAUUAAAUUCAAAAUCACACUUUCAUCUUAUCAAACAUAUUUUAUCUUUAUUUUAGACACCAUCUUUCAUAAAAUUAAUUUCAUGUGAUGCAUGCAUGUGUAUGUCACUACAAGAAAUAGGCCUAUUUACGACUGAAGUAAGGUCGACGGAAUGGAUUCGCUCGGAAUUAACUUAUUGCCGACGAAAUAUUUAGUCGUUCAUAACUCCCUCGAGAAUAGUACAAAUUCGACUGAAUUCAGUCGAUCCUAUACCAUGCUCGUGGCGCGAAAGUUUCCCUCCAGCGCCAAUAACAACCUCGACGAAAGAACUAUUACUGCCGACUGAUUGUCCGUCGAGGAUACUGUGACGCCCCCAAAUUCGGGUACUUGAAACCCUUAUUCAGUGCUCAUGAUAUAAAAUGUUCCUAAUAUAUCAAGUAAAGUUAUUACAUCAAAGUUCUUCUAAUCCCAGGUACAUAUUCCUUUAAACGUUUAUUACAUGAUAGUUUAAUAUUUACAAACAUGAAAACUCUUUAUUAUAUCAACUUUCAGCUAUUCUACUACUUUUCCUUUUCCCUUAUCUUUUCCAGACCCUUCUGCCCGAGUCUGCUCAGCUGAAAACAUUUAUAAUAAAACAAGUAUGAGCAUUUAAUUGCUCAGCAAGUAAUAGCAGUCUUUAAGGCUCAACAAGAAAUAAAUGUUUUCUUUGAAGCAUGCUUUGACAGUGAAUCAAAUCUGUAAAGCAAUAAAUCUUGAAUCAUUCAUAUUUCUGAAAUAUCGUAACAUUGAAUAACUGAGAGGUUUUAAGACCAUGAACAUAUUUUUCUUUUCUUGAAAAGGUUCAAUCAGAAAUAUUAUCAGAUGAACCGUCUUAUCUUACGAGCACAUAGGGUGAUCAACCAUUUAUGCCUUGUAUUGAACAAUACUAUCUUUUCCAGAACAAUUUUCAUGUUCUACAUCACCACUCCUAGAGUGCAAUAAAAAUAUCCCAUUUAAGGGUAUGUUCAUUCUCAGUUUUAGAUUCCAACUACAACAAUAUAGCUGGACAACUUAAAUCAUGGCACAAUAAUAUUUCAAGACUAAUAUAAAGAAACUGAAUUAUUUCAUAGCUGUGUCUGGACAGAAGAAAUGGCUCAGACUUCUUUGCAACCUGCUCAUGCAUAAGAUAAUAGCUUACCCAAUCUUUUGAAGCUGAUUGGAAUAAAAAGAUUAUUCAAUCUUACAAUAUUCAUAAAUAAUGAAAGACAGUUCAGAAAUUAGAGAACCUGUCAAUAUAUGAAUAAUCUCAUAAUACUUGCUCAAUAAAGAGUAAGAUUUAGAUACUUGUCUUGUCUGUAGACUAUGUGUACAAUUUCAACUUAACUUGUGUAUUCUCACUGAUCCUACACAAUUAUUUGCAUUUACAAGCAUAUUAGCUAAAUAAACAAGUCAUAUAGCUUGUAUGAUUACAUAUCACAUACACAGUGAUCAUGUUUUUAGUUAAUAUUCUCAUACUUGAGAUAUUUAUUUACAUUUUUCAAAUAUCUUAUUCAUGUUCUUAUAAUAGCCUUUUCUUUCUUUUUUUAGGGUCUGACAUAACUUCUGCUCAAGAUUCUUCUAUGAUUUUAGUUUAUAUUUCUUUUCUAAGUUAUGUCAAGUUAGCUCCGUUGCGGUGAUAGCAAUUCUUUGCGACACUAAUAGCCUAAACUUGGCUGAAUAAUUUUAAAUUAAAAGUCUAAUCAUAUCAACCAUUGUUUUAUAGAUUGCAACUUUACUUAUAAUAAAUUACGUGUUUUAGGUGUGACUAAAACUUGUUUGGAUAAUUUAUAAUUCCAAUUAUUUGUAGUUUCAAAAUUUUUUUUAUACUAAGAUGCUAAACAUUCUUGUUUCCCUUUUUAAUGCCAAAAUAGCCCUUUGAGGCUUUAAUAGUUUAAACAUGACUUAAUAAUUUCAAAUUAGAGGUUCAUCUAUGCUAGCUUUAUUUUAGAGUGUACUAACUCACUUAUACAAAACUUGGGUCCCUUAUAGAUGUGUUAACACUAACAUAUUUUAACAGCAUACCAAAACAUUACCCUUCAUGUUAAUAACCACCCAACCAUAGACACUGUUGUAGCAGCUUCUGGGUUGUUGAAUAGGCCAAUUGUUGAUGCCUAUGGGCAGCAGCCCUUAUUGCUUACCCCAUGCCUUGACCAACCCUUAAUGCAUACACCUUUAAUUUGAUUAUAUAGAAUUAAGACACAUUAAUAGCAUAAUCUGAUAAACAUAGGUUGGUUGAUCAUAAGCUAAGUAAAUCCCCAGGCCUUGCUCCCAAAAUGGCUCCUGCUGCCGUUAGGCAGCAGCCCUGCCCCUCCUCCCAUUUUUAAGUUAUAACUUAUUACUCCUCCCAUUUUUAAGUUAUAACUUAUUUACUCUAAUAUGCUACAAUUUUGGAGACAAGGCAGUUUGCAUACCUCUAUAUUUAGCAAAAUACUAAUCAAGUUGCAUAAACAUCUUAAUCAAGUCGACUGACAGCUCAAAAGAAAGCCCCAGCCCUGCCCACUGCAACUACUACUGCCACGGCUACUGUUAUAGGCAGCCUUUAGCCUAGCAUGGCUAUUUUUUUCCUAAUCUCAUGCUUCUAACCACAUGAUGAUUUACCUUUCUUUUUAAAUAUAUAGUAUAUAGCAUAAGAGAGUAUAUCUAGAAAUUAUAAAACCUCUAUCUCAAGCUUGCUAGGCAGCCCAACUCAGCACUCAAAGUUGCCUUGAUAUACCAUUUUUCAAUUUUUUACAUUAGCUUGGAUUUGAAUUUCGUUUCACUCUAAUAUAUUUAAACUUGCUAAUUAUCAUCACAUAAAAUACAGAAAUCAAUCCCCAAGCUUUAAUUCUAUCAAAUUAGCAGUUGUUAAGCAAAACAGUCCAUUGAGGACUUUUAUCAAACACCUUACAGGCACUGUUUUGCAACACAAGUGCCAUAACUAUUUAUUUUCUUUAAAACCCCAAUUUAGUUUCCUUAUUACUCCACAGCCACCUAUCUCCUUGUGCCUAAAUUAUAUUCAUAGCAGUUGAUUACAUAAUCAUAGGAAUGAAUAAUCAAGUAGUUGACAAUCUAAUUAAUUUUAUUCUCUUCAUAACAUGCAAUACUUUUGAUAACACAUUUAUAUCAAAUAGAAAAAUCCCACUAUGUUUAGCAUGUUAUCCCCGAAUGGUUACAGUGCUUUAUAAAAAUCAAAUCGGUAGCACACCUUCCCAAUCAACCCAUAGCAAUUUCCAUAACCAUUAAUUAGUGCAUAUUAAACAUCUUAAAGUAAGUAUAUAUUGCAAAGAUGCAUUACCUUUCUAAGCCUUGAUUUCCGAAUUAGUUGGUUGCAACCCAAUACUUCUUCGAGUUUCUCUUCACUUGACAGCGUAUCCUUUUUCAGUUAUCAAUUACGAACAAAGUUUACCCAAAACUAACAGAGCAUUAAGCGUCUAACCAUUUCUUAUUUGUAACAGCAUAAAGACUAUAAAUUUAGAAGGAAAUAGAAAAAAGUUAUGAGAUAUCUGGGUUCUAAUAUUCUUAUCAGAUAUUUGAACUUAAGGAGCAUACACUGCACUUGGCUAAUACGUUUAUAGGUUAGCUGAGUUGUUUAAGCUAUGUUUCUUAAAUAAAUGCCAGCU